AUUGAACGCUGGCGGCAGGCCUAACACAUGCAAGUCGAGCGGAUGAAGGGAGCUUGCUCCUGGAUUCAGCGGCGGACGGGUGAGUAAUGCCUAGGAAUCUGCCUGGUAGUGGGGGAUAACGUCCGGAAACGGGCGCUAAUACCGCAUCCGUCCUGAGGGAGAAAGUGGGGGAUCUUCGGACCUCACGCUAUCAGAUGAGCCUAGGUCGGAUUAGCUAGUUGGUGGGGUAAAGGCCUACCAAGGCGACGAUCCGUAACUGGUCUGAGAGGAUGAUCAGUCACACUGGAACUGAGACACGGUCCAGACUCCUACGGGAGGCAGCAGUGGGGAAUAUUGGACAAUGGGCGAAAGCCUGAUCCAGCCAUGCCGCGUGUGUGAAGAAGGUCUUCGGAUUUUAAAGCACUUUAAGUUGGGAGGAAGGGCAGUAAGUUAAUACCCUGCUGUUUUGACGUUACCAACAGAAUAAGCACCGGCUAACUUCGUG
rnacentral:rRNA from 1 species